UACGUAGGGGGCAAGCGUUAUCCGGAAUUACUGGGUGUAAAGGGAGCGUAGACGGUUAAGUAAGUCUGGAGUGAAAGGCCGGGGCCCAACCCCGGGACUGCUCUGGAAACUAUUGAACUUGAGUGCAGGAGAGGUAAGCGGAAUUCCUAGUGUAGCGGUGAAAUGCGUAGAGAUCGGGAGGAACACCAGUGGCGAAGGCGGCCUGCUGGGCUUUAACUGACGCUGAAGCACGAAAGCGUGGGUAGCAAACAGG
rnacentral:rRNA from 1 species